CAUGCAAGUCGAACGGUAACAGCGGAAGCUUGCUUCCGGCUGACGAGUGGCGGACGGGUGAGUAACGCGUAGGAAUCUACCCUGUAGUGGGGGAUAACCCGAGGAAACUCGGGCUAAUACCGCAUAUGUCCUCAGGGACAAAGGGGGCCUCUUAUCUCUUCGGAGACAAUGCUCCUGCUAUGGGAUGAGCCUGCGUCGGAUUAGCUUGUUGGUAGGGUAAUGGCCUACCAAGGCUACGAUCCGUAGCUGGUCUGAGAGGACGACCAGCCACACUGGAACUGAGACACGGUCCAGACUUCUACGGAAGGCAGCAGUAAGGAAUUUUGGACAAUGGGCGCAAGCCUGAUCCAGCCAUGCCGCGUGUGUGAAGAAGGCCUUAGGGUUGUAAAGCACUUUCAGGGGUGAAGAAAAUCUCGGGGUUAAUACCCCCGAGCCUUGACGUUAGCCCCACAAGAAGCACCGGCUAACUCCGUGCCAGCAGCCGCGGUGAUACGGAGGGUGCGAACGUUAAUCGGAAUUACUGGGCGUAAAGCGCGCGUAGGCGGUUUGUUAAGUGAGGUGUGAAAGCCCCAGGCUCAACCUGGGAACUGCAUUUCAGACUGGCAGACUAGAGUCUGAUAGAGGAAGGUGGAAUUCCCUGUGUAGCGGUGAAAUGCGUAGAUAUAGGGAAGAAUACCAGUGGCGAAGGCGGCCUUCUGGAUCAAGACUGACG
rnacentral:rRNA from 1 species